AACAGGCUUAACACAUGCAAGUCGAGGGGCAGCAUGGUCUUAGCUUGCUAAGGACGAUGGCGACCGGCGCACGGGUGAGUAACGCGUAUCCAACCUGCCUUACACUCUUGGACAGCCUUCUGAAAGGGAGAUUAAUACAAGAUGUUAUCAUGAGUAAGCAUUUUCGCAUGAUUAAAGGUUUACCGGUGUAAGAUGGGGAUGCGUUCCAUUAGAUAGUAGGCGGGGUAACGGCCCACCCAGUCUUCGAUGGAUAGGGGUUCUGAGAGGAAGGUCCCCCACAUUGGAACUGAGACACGGUCCAAACUCCUACGGGAGGCAGCAGUGAGGAAUAUUGGUCAAUGGACGAGAGUCUGAACCAGCCAAGUAGCGUGAAGGAUGAAGGUUCUAUGGAUUGUAAACUUCUUUUAUACGGGAAUAAACGGAUCCACGCGUGGAUUUUUGCAUGUACCGUAUGAAUAAGGAUCGGCUAACUCCGUGCCAGCAGCCGCGGUAAUACGGAGGAUCCGAGCGUUAUCCGGAUUUAUUGGGUUUAAAGGGAGCGUAGAUGGGUUGUUAAGUCAGUUGUGAAAGUUUGCGGCUCAACCGUAAAAUUGCAAUUGAUACUGGCAGUCUUGAGUACAGUUGAGGUAGGCGGAAUUCGUGGUGUAGCGGUGAAAUGCUUAGAUAUCACGAAGAACUCCGAUUGCGAAGGCAGCUUACUAACCUGUAACUGACAUUGAUGCUCGAAAGUGUGGGUAUCAAACAGGGUUAGAUACCCUGGUAGUCCACACGGUAAACUCUAAAAGUCGCUGUAGGCGAUAUACAGUCGCGGCCAAGCGAAAGCAUUAAGUAUCCACCUGGGGAGUACGCCGGCAACGGUGAAACUCAAAGGAAUUGACGGGGGCCCGCACAAGCGGAGGAACAUGUGGUUUAAUUCGAUGAUACGCGAGGAACCUUACCCGGGCUUAAAUCGCAACCGAAUAUGGCGGAAACGCUAUAGCUAGCAAUAGCGGUUGUGAAGGUGCUGCAUGGUUGUCGUCAGCUCGUGCCGUGAGGUGUCGGCUUAAGUGCCAUAACGAGCGCAACCCUUGCCGAUAGUUACUAACAGGUUAUGCUGAGGACUCUGUCGGGACUGCCAUCGUAAGAUGUGAGGAAGGUGGGGAUGACGUCAAAUCAGCACGGCCCUUACGUCCGGGGCUACACACGUGUUACAAUGGGGGGUACAGAGGGCUGCUACCACGCAAGAGGAUGCCAAUCCCAAAAACCUCUCUCAGUUCGGAUUGAAGUCUGCAACCCGACUUCAUGAAGCUGGAUUCGCUAGUAAUCGCGCAUCAGCCACGGCGCGGUGAAUACGUUCCCGGGCCUUGCACU
rnacentral:rRNA from 1 species